rnacentral:rRNA from 1 species
ACGGGUGAGUAACGCGUGGGAAUCUACCCAUCUCUACGGAAUAACCCAGGGAAACUUGGACUAAUACCGUAUACGUCCUUCGGGAGAAAGAUUUAUCGGAGAUGGAUGAGCCCGCGUUGGAUUAGCUAGUUGGUGGGGUAAAGGCCUACCAAGGCGACGAUCCAUAGCUGGUCUGAGAGGAUGAUCAGCCACACUGGGACUGAGACACGGCCCAGACUCCUACGGGAGGCAGCAGUGGGGAAUAUUGGACAAUGGGCGCAAGCCUGAUCCAGCCAUGCCGCGUGAGUGAUGAAGGCCCUAGGGUUGUAAAGCUCUUUCACCGGUGAAGAUAAUGACGGUAACCGGAGAAGAAGCCCCGGCUAACUUCGUGCCAGCAGCCGCGGUAAUACGAAGGGGGCUAGCGUUGUUCGGAAUUACUGGGCGUAAAGCGCACGUAGGCGGACUAUUAAGUCAGGGGUGAAAUCCCGGGGCUCAACCCCGGAACUGCCUUUGAUACUGGUAGUCUAGAGUCCGGAAGAGGUGAGUGGAAUUCCGAGUGUAGAGGUGAAAUUCGUAGA